rnacentral:rRNA from 1 species
UUAAUUUGAGAGUUUGAUCCUGGCUCAGGACGAACGCUGGCGGCGUGCCUAAUACAUGCAAGUCGAACGAACUCUGGUAUUGAUUGGUGCUUGCAUCAUGAUUUACAUUUGAGUGAGUGGCGAACUGGUGAGUAACACGUGGGAAACCUGCCCAGAAGCGGGGGAUAACACCUGGAAACAGAUGCUAAUACCGCAUAACAACUUGGACCGCAUGGUCCGAGUUUGAAAGAUGGCUUCGGCUAUCACUUUUGGAUGGUCCCGCGGCGUAUUAGCUAGAUGGUGGGGUAACGGCUCACCAUGGCAAUGAUACGUAGCCGACCUGAGAGGGUAAUCGGCCACAUUGGGACUGAGACACGGCCCAAACUCCUACGGGAGGCAGCAGUAGGGAAUCUUCCACAAUGGACGAAAGUCUGAUGGAGCAACGCCGCGUGAGUGAAGAAGGGUUUCGGCUCGUAAAACUCUGUUGUUAAAGAAGAACAUAUCUGAGAGUAACUGUUCAGAUAUUGACGGUAUUUAACCAGAAAGCCACGGCUAACUACGUGCCAGCAGCCGCGGUAAUACGUAGGUGGCAAGCGUUGUCCGGAUUUAUUGGGCGUAAAGCGAGCGCAGGCGGUUUUUUAAGUCUGAU